UACGAAGGGGGCUAGCGUUGCUCGGAAUCACUGGGCGUAAAGGGCGCGUAGGCGGCGCUUCUAGUCGGGGGUGAAAUCCCCGGGCUCAACCCGGGGGCUGCGCCCGAUACGGGGGCGCUGGAGGACGGGAGAGGCUCGCGGAAUUCCCAGUGUAGAGGUGAAAUUCGUAGAUAUUGGGAAGAACACCGGUGGCGAAGGCGGCGAGCUGGCCCGUUACUGACGCUGAGGCGCGACAGCGUGGGGAGCAAACAGG
rnacentral:rRNA from 1 species